AUUCCGGUUGAUCCUGCCGGACCCGACUGCUAUUUGGGUGAGAAUAAGCCAUGCGAGUUGAAUGGAAUACCUAAAUUUUCCAUAGCAAACUGCUCAGUAACACAUGAUCAACUUACCCUAUAGAGAAAAAUAACCUCGGGAAACUGAGGAUAAUAUUUCAUAGUUGAAAAGGCUUGGAAAAGUUUUUCAAUAAAAGGGAUAAGAAAAAUGGUUCUUAUCUGCUAUAGGAUAGGAUCGUGGUCGAUUAUGGUUGUUGGUGAGGUAAUGGCUCACC
rnacentral:rRNA from 1 species